AUUGAACGCUGGCGGCAGGCCUAACACAUGCAAGUCGAGCGGAGCAGCGGACGGGUGCGUAAUGCCUAGGAAUCUGCCUUGUAGUGGGGGAUAACGUCAGGAAACGGGCGCUAAUACCGCAUACUAUCAGAUGAGCCUAGGUCGGAUUAGCUGGUUGGGGGGGUAAAGUCCCACCAAGGCGACGCUCCGUAACUGGUCUGGGAGGAUGAUCAGUCACACUGGACCUGAGACACGGUCCAGACUCUUCCGGGAGGCAGCAGUGGGGAAUAUUGGACAAUGGGCGAAAGCCUGAUGCAGCCAGGCCGCGUGUGUGAAGAAGGUCUUCGGAUUGUAAAGCACUUUAAGUUGGAAGGCGUUACCAACAGAAUAAGCACCGGCUAACUUCGUGCCAGCAGCCGCGGUAAUAC
rnacentral:rRNA from 1 species